GUCAACACCGGUUUCGUAUUUUCACGUGAAAACGGCCGAAAACUGAGAGGUUAUCAACAAAUUAUAGGUUUACGGGUACCAUGAGGAUUUUUCAUGCAUUUAAACGACAAAAGUACAAGCGAACAGAUGACACAUUAAAGUGGCUGCAGAAGCUUGAAAAGUUAGAUAGAGCAGAGGCAGUCAAAACUGUGGGAUAAUACUUCUAUGGUUUCCAACAUGUCUAGUCAAGUUGACAGAAGUGAAAGAUGGUCUGAUGGUACAAUGAUGUACAAAUGAUACUCUUUAACAAGUUUAACAUGUCAAGGUGUAAAAUGUUCUGUGGAUUCAUAUGAUGAGAAUGCCAAUGUUGAUCUGUAUGACUUAAUUAAACACAGAUAUUGAUACCUUCAGAUAUAUACCUGUGAAAUCUUCAGUGUCACCGUUUAGCUAUUGUUCAAGAUCAGUGUCUGCAGCUUGCACAGUUUAGUAUAGAGGAGCCUUCUGAAUCAAUUUUGUUACAUAUUUGCUGUUAUUGUAGGACACACAUGUAGAGAGCAACAAGUCCUGUCCAAAUGUGCAUGUAAAUGUGAUUCAGAAACUUUGAGAAUAUGUAAACAUUACACUGUUAUAAUUUUCAAAAUACUGUGUCUUGUAGUGUAUCAGUACGGUUUUGUCUCAGUUUAUAGCACAGUAUGUUCACAAAUCAAACUUAAGAUCAUAGUUAUCAGUAUUAUUAAAAUCAUUAAUUAUUUGUAUGGUGACAAAAUUUAAUUUCAUUCAAUACCACAGUAAAACGUUUGAUAAUUUUCGUUUUUAAAGUUGUAAGUUUAAAGUUGGCAUAAAUUAUUUUUCUCCUUCAUAAAUCUAAAAGUGAUUGGUCAUUAUAAUUGCAAUAUCAUUUUAGUAUGACAAAGUUUAUAUUGAACUGAAACACUAAUGUAAAUUUUUGAACUAUUCAAUGCAUUUUCUUCAGUCUUAAAACAUUUGUUUAUCGUACAUGUCAUGGCCCAUAACUCCUCCAUAUUACUUGUGUUUUGUCCUUUUUCGUUUCACUGAAGGAUAGGUAGAGGUAUUGCACAUCCAUUUUUUAGCAUCCUGAUUUUGUAAAGUGUUGUAUGUAAGGUUUUAUCUCGGAAUUAUGUCUCGUCUAAAGGUGGGGAGAGGUAUUGUUUAUGCCUUCUCGUCUAUCCGCAUUAAGCCUGUCUGGCUUUAAGAGGACAAGCUGCUGGCCAGAUUUUGAUAAAACUUCACAGGAAUGAUCAGUACCAAGCAUAGUGUUGUGCAUAUCGAUUGCACGUUUCGUUUCGAUGCACUAAAUUGCAGCCAGAGCUAAAAGUAGACAAAUCUUGUCGGCUUUCACAGGUCAAAACUACUUAACAGAUUUUGAUGAAACUUCACAGGAGUGAUCAGUACCACGUAUAUUUUUGCAUAUCACCGACACUUUUCAUUUUGCUGCACAAAAUAGCCGCCAUAGCAUAAAGGUAUACGUAGGUGGGAGACAUGUUUUGUCAUAAAAAUACCUAAAACACCUCCCACUUUGUUAAUGAAAAAUGUAUUAAACUUCUUACAAUUGCAAACUGUAAUAAUUUGACAUUAAAUGCACUAGUUACAUAACUGCAUUUGGCUUUUUUCAUAAUUAUUGCCCUUUUCUUACCAUAGCAAUAAUUUGUGUAACAUGUUACCUCAUUAAGCAUCAUAAGAUCAGAAAGUUCUAUGACUCAGAAAUGUUGGCCCUUUUGUACUUGUCAUGAGUAUGUUUUCAGUAUUUUAUAUUGUCAUUACUUUUUGUUGUGCGAGUUUACGGAAAUGAAAACUUAGUUGUCCAAAUGGUGUGCCUGUGCCUGUCCUGAUUUGUUUGUCUGGACAAUAUAUUAUUGAUUAGUCUUCACGAAACUUUGCAGGUUAAUUUCCUUAAGUUCCCUGUCAACUUUGAUAGUGGCAUGGUUAUUUUAAAAGUGAUGUCACCACUGUACUAGUCAAACGUUUUGUAUUUCAGAUUUUUAUCACAUUAUAGGCUACUGGUCUUUAGCAGCCUUCAUAAAACUUUCAUAAAAGUUUCCAAAAAUGUUGUAUUUUGAUUUGAACUGGCAUUAUUCAAACAUUAAGAAGUAGUACUAUAAGGCAACAUUUGACCUCUGUUCCAGUACUUUUUGAUUUUCUCUGUUACUAUGAAGUUGCCUUUUCCUAGAAAUUGGUUGGCUUAUUUUUUAUGAUCUUAUGUUUUUAAUGAAUUGUAGCUAUAUGUUCUUUUUCUCAUGAAAAUGUCCAUUUUUAUAUAAUUCAUAUUUUUUUACUGUCAACAAAGUGCAAUACCACAUACUUAUCACUUUCAUUAACAUACUUGUACUAUUUUCAUAAAACAUUAUAUAAAUCAUUAUAUUUCAUAUAAACAGAAUUUAAUAAAUAUUUAAGAACAUCAGUGUUUUCUUUGAUUGCUACAUGAAACUGACCAUAGGUCAAUUUAGGGUCAAUUCUGACACUUUAUAUGCAAAUUGAUAAGGGAGAUAAUUAGUACUGUCUUAAGUAACCAAUAUUUAGUUACACAGUUACCUUCCCUUUACACAGGUAGGACUAUUUGUUGUUGAUCAUCUUUUGAACAUUAUUCCAUCACUGAUGACCGAUCAUUGAAAAUAAAAGUUGUUGUAUCAUGCAAUGGCAUCAUAUAUGACAAUAUUUACUUUUUUAUUUCAUUUUUUAAACAUUCUUUAAAUUAGGUACAAUGCCUACAAGUUAGUGUGAGAGAAAUAAACAUUGUGUGAAAGUGCUUACAAAUAUAUUCACCUUAUUAGAUGAACUGAAUUCAACACUGGAUCUUAUUUUUACAUGUGUUUUACUAGGACAGUUGGUGAUUUUUUUUACACUUUUUAAUGUUUCAUACACACAUUAGUAUAAUAGUCAUUUUACAUGUAUACUACUUUGAGAAGUAUUUAGUCACGUAGUUCUUCCGAACUAUAAUCCUGUGUUUUAUUAAAACGCAGAGUAUAGCAUGUUUGCUACUAUUCAUGACACUUAAUUAAGGUGGUCUCUGUCCGUAUUGGGAGGAAGAGUGUGGGUCUUCCUCUGAAAGUUUUUGAUAUACAUUACAGGUAUAAAAUGGGUGGCCUCUGGUGCAUUUUUGGUCUAAAUGAGGUACUGGAGUGGAACUCCCCUCAUUUUAGGGGGGUCAGGGGUUCUCCUCAUGAAAAAAUUUAAAAUACAGGUAUGAAAUGAUAGG